GCUAAACGCGAAGAACCUUACCCACCUUUGACAUGUACGGAAUCCUUUAGAGAUAGAGGAGUGCUCGAAAGAGAGCCGUAACACAGGUGCUGCAUGGCUGUCGUCAGCUCGUGUCGUGAGAUGUUGGGUUAAGUCCCGCAACGAGCGCAACCCUUGCCAUUAGUUGCUACGAAAGGGCACUCUAAUGGGACUGCCGGUGACAAACCGGAGGAAGGUGGGGAUGACGUCAAGUCCUCAUGGCCCUUAUAGGUGGGGCUACACACGUCAUACAAUGGCUGGUACAAAGGGUUGCCAACCCGCGAGGGGGAGCUAAUCCCAUAAAGCCAGUCGUAGUCCGGAUCGCAGUCUGCAACUCGACUGCGUGAAGUCGGAAUCGCUAGUAAUCGUGGAUCAGAAUGUCACGGUGAAUACGUUCCCGGGUCUUGUACACACCG
rnacentral:rRNA from 1 species